rnacentral:rRNA from 1 species
GGAAUCUUCGGCAAUGGACGAAAGUCUGACCGAGCAACGCCGCGUGAGUGAAGAAGGUUUUCGGAUCGUAAAACUCUGUUGGUAGAGAAGAACGUUGGUGAGAGUGGAAAGCUCAUCAAGUGACGGUAACUACCCAGAAAGGGCGGCUAAACUACGUGCCAG